CCUACGGGUGGCAGCAGUGAGGAAUAUUGGUCAAUGGGCGCGAGCCUGAACCAGCCAAGUCGCGUGAGGGAAGACGGUCCUAUGGAUUGUAAACCUCUUUUGUCGGGGAGCAAAAGACGCCACGCGUGGCGUUCCGAGAGUACCCGAAGAAAAAGCAUCGGCUAACUCCGUGCCAGCAGCCGCGGUAAUACGGAGGAUGCGAGCGUUAUCCGGAUUUAUUGGGUUUAAAGGGUGCGCAGGCGGAAGAUCAAGUCAGCGGUAAAAUUGGGGGGCUCAACCUCUUCGAGCCGGUGAAACUGGUUGUCUUGAGUGAGCGAGAAGUAUGCGGAAUGCGUGGUGUAGCGGUGAAAUGCAUAGAUAUCACGCAGAACUCCGAUUGCGAAGGCAGCAUACCGGCGCUCAACUGACGCUGAUGCACGAAAGUGUGGGUAUCGAACAGGAUUAGAUACCCUAGUAGUC
rnacentral:rRNA from 1 species